GAUGAACGCUGGCGGCGUGCCUAAUACAUGCAAGUCGAGCGAACGGACGAGAAGCUUGCUUCUCUGAUGUUAGCGGCGGACGGGUGAGUAACACGUGGAUAACCUACCUAUAAGACUGGGAUAUCUUCGGGAAACCGGAGCUAAUACCGGAUAAUAUUUUGAACCGCAUGGUUCAAAAGUGAAAGACGGUCUUGCUGUCACUUAUAGAUGGAUCCGCGCUGCAUUAGCUAGUUGGUAAGGUAACGGCUUACCAAGGCAACAAUGCAUAGCCGACCUGAGAGGGUGAUCGGCCACACUGGAACUGAGACACGGUCCAGACUCCUACGGGAGGCAGCAGUAGGGAAUCUUCCGCAAUGGGCGAAAGCCUGACGGAGCAACGCCGCGUGAGUGAUGAAGGUCUUCGGAUCGUAAAACUCUGUUAUUAGGGAAGAACAUAUGUGUAAGUAACUGUGCACAUCUUGACGGUACCUAAUCAGAAAGCCACGGCUAACUACGU
rnacentral:rRNA from 1 species